rnacentral:rRNA from 1 species
CAUCCGCUCUUUUAAUGUGUUUAAUCGAGAUACUUCAUUGUGAGAGUUUUGAAUGCAAAUUCAAAACUCUCACUAACGUACUCCAAAAGGCUUGGACAGGAAAGAGUCCAAAAGGCUUGGACAGGAAAGAGUCCAAAAGGCUUGGACAGGAAAGAGUCCAAAAGGCUUGGACAGGAAAGAGUCCAAAAGGCUUGGACAGAUUUGUGUCCAAAAGGCUUGGACAGAUUUGUGUCCAAAAGGCUUGGACAGAGAGGGUCCAAAGUACUUAAGGAGGUUUGAAUCUUAAACUGUAAGUUUAAGAUUUAUGGAUAAUCGAACGAAGUAAUAUUAAAAGUAGAUCUUUUAAACAGAAAGUUUAAGAGGUGUACAUAAAUUAAUAAGCUUUUGGUAAAAAGCUUAUAAAGAUUAGACAUAUUAAGAGAGCGGAUG